AAUCAACGCUGGCGGCGUGCCUCAGACAUGCAAGUCGAACGAUUAAGACUUCCUUCGGGAGGUGCAUAAAGUGGCGCACGGGUGAGUAACACGUAAGUAAUCUACCCUCGAGUGGGGAAUAACGUUCGGAAACGAACGCUAAUACCGCAUAACGCAGCGGCACCGCAAGGGGACAGUUGAUAAAGGAGCAAUCCGCUUGGGGAGGAGCUUGCGGCAGAUUAUCUAGUUGGUAAGGUAAUGGCUUACCAAGGCUACGAUCUGUAUCCGGUCUAAGAGGACGGUCGGCCACACUGGGACUGAGACACGGCCCAGACUCCUACGGGAGGCAGCAGUGGGGAAUAUUGGACAAUGGGCGAAAGCCUGAUCCAGCAACGCCGCGUGAGGGAUGACGGCCUUCGGGUUGUAAACCUCUUUCAGCAGGGACGAAGCGAAAGUGACGGUACCUGCAGAAGAAGGACCGGCCAACUACGUGCCAGCAGCCGCCGUAACAC
rnacentral:rRNA from 1 species